rnacentral:rRNA from 1 species
GACGAACGCUGGCGGCGUGCUUAACACAUGCCAGUCGAACGGAAAGGCCCUGCUUUUGUGGGGUGCUCGAGUGGCGAACGGGUGAGUAACACGUGAGUAACCUGCCCUUGACUUUGGGAUAACUUCAGGAAACUGGGGCUAAUACCGGAUAGGAGCUCCUGCUGCAUGGUGGGGGUUGGAAAGUUUCGGCGGUUGGGGAUGGACUCGCGGCUUAUCAGCUUGUUGGUGGGGUAGUGGCUCACCAAGGCUUUGACGGGUAGCCGGCCUGAGAGGGUGACCGGCCACAUUGGGACUGAGAUACGGCCCAGACUCCUACGGGAGGCAGCAGUGGGGAAUAUUGCACAAUGGGCGGAAGCCUGAUGCAGCAACGCCGCGUGCGGGAUGACGGCCUUCGGGUUGUAAACCGCUUUCGCCUGUGACGAAGCGUGAGUGACGGUAAUGGGUAAAGAAGCACCGGCUAACUACGU